UUAUUUCUAUAUAAAUUCUAUGUACGAUCAGACUGUUUUAAUAAUCUCUUAUUAAAUAAUAUUAUUUUACUACUUUGGGAACCAAUUCAGUUACACAUUUUUUAGAAGACAAUUCAAAAGUUCAGUUUUAUAUUUACCCAAAGUUGAGAGCCAAUUGAACGGUGCCUUGAGAGCCAAUUGAACGGUGCCAAACUAAAUAAUGUUGCUCUU